rnacentral:rRNA from 1 species
UACGGGGGGAGCAAGCGUUGUUCGGAUUUACUGGGCGUAAAGGGCGCGUAGGCGGCGCAACAAGUCACUUGUGAAAUCUCCGGGCUUAACUCGGAGCGGCCAAGUGAUACUGUCGUGCUAGAGUGCGGAAGGGGCAACUGGAAUUCUCGGUGUAGCGGUGAAAUGCGUAGAUAUCGAGAGGAACACCUGCAGCGAAGGCGGGUUGCUGGGCCGACACUGACGCUGAGGCGCGAAAGCCAGGGGAGCGAACGGG